GACGAACGCUGGCGGCGUGCCUAACACAUGCAAGUCGAGCGAAGUAUAUCUGAGGGAAAUUUUCGGAUGGAACUUAGAUAUAUCUUAGCGGCGGACGGGUGAGUAACGCGUGAGCAACCUGCCUUUCACAAAGGGAUAGCCUCGGGAAACUGGGAUUAAUACCAUAUAAAACUUGUCUUUCGCAUGAAAGAAAAGUCAAAGCGAAUAAGCGGUGAAAGAUGGGCUCGCGUCCUAUUAGCUAGUUGGUGAGGUAACGGCUCACCAAGGCGACGAUAGGUAGCCGGCCUGAGAGGGUGAACGGCCACACUGGAACUGAGACACGGUCCAGACUCCUACGGGAGGCAGCAGUGGGGGAUAUUGCACAAUGGAGGAAACUCUGAUGCAGCGACGCCGCGUGAGUGAAGAAGGCCUUCGGUCGUAAGCUCUGUCCUAGGGAAGAGUAAUGACGGUACCCUACGGAGGAAGACCCCGGCGUAACUACGUGCCAGCAGCCGCGGUAAUAGUACU
rnacentral:rRNA from 1 species